GGUUCGAUUAUGGCUCAGAUUGAACGCUGGCGGGAUGCUUUACACAUGCAAGUCGAACGGCAGCACGGACUUCGGUCUGGUGGUGAGUGGCGAACGGGUGAGUAAUGUAUCGGAACGUGCCUAGUAGCGGGGGAUAACUACGCGAAAGCGUAGCUACUACUGCAUACGCCCUUCGGGGGAAAGCGGGGACCUUCGGGCCUCGCACUAUUAGGAGCGGCCGAUAUCGGAUUAGCUAGUUGGUGGGGUAACGGCUCACUAAGGCGACGAUCCGUAGCUGGUUUGAGAGGACGACCAGCCACACUGGGACUGACACGGCCCAGACUCCUACGGGAGGCAGCAGUGGGGAAUUUUGGACAAUGGGGGAACCCCGAUCCAGCCAUCCGGGCGUGUGCGAUGAAGGCCUUCGGGUUGUAAAGCACUUUUUGGCAGGAAGGGAAACGGCACGCAGAUACACCUGUGCAACUGACGGUACCCGGCAGAAUAAGUGCACGCUAACUACGUGCCAGCAGCCGCGUAAUACGUAGGCAAGCAAUCGCACGCAUUUGGGCGCAUGCGCAGGCGGUUCGGAAAGAAAGAUGAAAUCCCAGAGCUUAACUUUGGAACUGCAUUUUUAACUACCGAGCUAGAGUGUAACAGGGAGGUGAAAUUCGCAGAGCGAAAUGCGUAGAUAUGCGGAGGAACACCGAUGGCGAAGGCAGCCUCCUGGGGAUAACACGGACGCUCAUGCACGAAAGCGUGGGGAGCAAACAGGAUUAGAUAAUUCUGGUAGUCCACGCCCUAAACGAUGUCAACUAGCUGUUGGGGCCUUCGGGCCUUGGUAGCGCAGCUAACGCGUGAAGUUGACCGCCUGGGGAGUACGGUCGCAAGAUUAAAACUCAAAGGAAUUGACGGGACCCGCACAAGCGGUGGAUGAUGUGAUUAAUUCGAUGCAACGCGAAAAACCUUACCUACCCUUAGACAUGUCUGGAAUCCUGAAGAGAUUUGGGAGUGCUCGCAAGAGAACCGGAACACAGGUGCUGCAUGGCUGUCGUCAGCUCGUGCCGAGAUGCUGCUGUCCCGCAACGAGCGCAACCCUUGUCAUUAGUUGCUACGAAAGGGCACUCUAAUGAGACUGCCGGUGACAAACCGGAGGAAGGUGGGGAUGACGUCAAGUCCUCAUGGCCCUUAUGGGUAGGGCUUCACACGUCAUACAAUGGUCGGGACAGAGGGUCGCCAACCUGCUACGGAGCUAAUCCCAGAAACCCGAUCAGUCCGGAUCGCAGUCUGCAACUCUGACUGGUGUGAAGUCGGAAUCGCUAGUAAUCGCGGAUCAGCAUGUCGCGGUGAAUACGUUCCCGGGUCUUGUACACACCGCCCGUCACACCAUGGGAGUGGGUUUUACCAGAAGUAGUUAGGCCUAACCGUAAGGAGGGCGAUUACCACGGUAGGAUUCAUGACUGGGGUGAAGUCGUAACAAGGCAG
rnacentral:rRNA from 1 species